GGCGCGAAACCUUUACAAUGUGCGACAGCGUGAUAAGGGGAUUCUCAGCGCUCAAGCAAUGCUUGAGCUUUUACUUAGCGUAAAUAGCUAUGUGAAUAAGUGGUGGGAAAUACCGGUGCCAGCCGCCGCGGUAACACCGGAGCCACAAGUGGCAAUCAAUAUUAUUGGGCCUAAAGCGUUCGUAGCAGGCUUUGCAAAUACUUCGUGAAAUUGCCGUGCCUAACAUGGCAAAUGGCGGAGUACACUACAAGGCUAGAGACUGGGAGGCGUUAGGGGUAUUCUUGAGGGAGCGGUAAAAUGCUAUAAUCUCAAGAGGACCGCCUAUGGCGAAAGCAUCUAACGAGAACAGAUCUGACUGUGAGGGACGAAAGCUAGGGGAGCAAACCGGAUUAGAUACCCGAGUAGUCCUAGCCAUAAACGCUGUGAGCAAGGCAUCGUGUAUCCCACGAGGAUAUGCGGUGUCGAAGAGAAGUCGUUAAGCUCACCGCCUGGGAAGUACGGCCGCAAGGUUGAAACUUUAAGGAAUUGGCGGGGGCGCACCACAAGGGGCGCAGCGUGCGGUUUAAUCUUAUACAACACAGAGAACCUUACUAGAAGCGACGGCAGGAUGAAGGUCACCCUGAAGGGGUUACCUGACGAGCCGAGAGGUGGUGCAUGGCCAUCGCCAGCUCGUGCUAUGAAGUGUCCAGUUAAGUCUGGUAACGAGCGAGACCUGUAUCUGUUAUUGCCAUCGGCUCUUCGGAGGACCGGGCACAUUACAGGGACUGCCUUAGAAAUAAGGAGGAAGGUGCAGGCUACGGUAGGUCUGUAUGCCCCGAAUCUUCUAGGCUACACGCGCGCAACAAUGGUAGAAACAAUGGGAUGCUACUCCGAAAGGAGACGCUAACCCUCUAAAUUCUAUCUAAGUUCAGAUUGAGGAUUGCAACUCAUCCUCAUGACGCCGGAGUCCCUAGUAAUCGGAGUUCAACAAACUCCGGUGAAUAUGUCCCUGCGCCUCCCACGCACC
rnacentral:rRNA from 1 species